CCCCCGGCGCGCGGGCCUGGCUCCCCUCCCCGGCCCCGCCCCGACAGGCGGGCUGCCCUGAGGAGGCGGGGAGGGGAGGGCUGGGCCGGCCGGCGGGCAGACGACGAUGCCAAACUUCUGCGCGGCCCCCAACUGCACGCGCAAGAGCUCGCAGUCGGACCUGGCCUUUUACAGGUUCCCGCGGGAUCCAGCCAGAUGUCAGAAGUGGGUGGAGAAUUGUGGGAGAGCAGAUUUAGAAGAUAGAACACCUGAUCAACUAAAUAAACAUUAUCGAUUGUGUGUCAAACACUUUGAGAGGUCUAUGAUCUGUAGAACUAGCCCUUAUAGGACAGUUCUUCGAGAUAAUGCAAUACCAACAAUAUUUGAUCUUACCAGCCAUCUGAAUAAUCCACACAGUAGACACAGAAAACGAAUAAAAGAAUUGAGUGAAGAUGAAAUCAGGACACUGAAACAGAAAAAAAUUGAUGAAACUUCUGAACAGGAACGAAAACAUAAGGAAAUAAACAACAGCAAUGCUCAGAACCCCAGUGCAGAAGAACGGGGUGAAGAGCAGGGUGAAGACAUUUUACCUUUAACCCUUGAAGAGAAGGAAAACAAAGGAUACUUAAAAUCUUUAUUUGAAAUUUUGAUUCUUACGGGAAAACAGAACACACCUCUGGAUGGACAUGAAGCUGAUGAAAUCCCAGAAGGUCUCUUUACUCCUGAUAACUUUCAAGCACUGCUGGAAUGCCGGAUCAAUUCUGGUGAAGAGGUUCUGAGAAGGCGCUUUGAGACAACAGCAGUUAACACAUUGUUCUGUUCGAAAACACAGCAGAAACAGAUGCUAGAGAUCUGUGAGAGCUGCAUCCGGGAAGAAACCCUCAGGGAAGUGAGAGACUCUCACUUCUUUUCCAUCAUCACUGACGAUGUGGUGGACAUAGCAGGGGAAGAGCACCUGCCUGUGUUGGUGAGGUUUGUUGACGAAGCUCACAACCUGAGAGAGGAAUCUGUGGGCUUCCUGCCUUAUGAAGCCGAUGCAGAAAUUCUGGCUGUGAAAUUUCACACUACGAUAACUGAGAAGUGGGGAUUCAGCAUGGAGUACUGUCGUGGCCAGGCUUACAUUGUGUCCAGUGGAUUUUCUUCCAAAGUGAAAGUUGUUGCUUCUAGACUUUUAGAGAAAUAUCCCCAAGCUAUGUACACGCUCUGCUCUUCCUGUGCCUUAAAUAUGUGGUUGGCAAAAUCAGUGCCUGUUAUGGGAGUAUCUAUCGCGUUAGGAACAAUUGAGGAAGUUUGUUCUUUUAUCCAUCGAUCACCACAACUGCUUUUAGAGCUUGACAAUGUAAUUUCUGUCCUAUUUCAGAACAAUGAAGAAAGGGGCAAAGAACUGAAGGAAAUUUGCCAUUCUCAGUGGACACGCAGGCAUGAUGCUUUUGAAAUCUUAGUGGACCUCCUACAA